AACACUCGCCCGGCCCUUUCUACAGCGGGGGCGGGGCGCGCCGGGCCAGCUCCGCCUCUCGCCUGAUACCCGGGCUGAGGGAGGGCGCCGGGGCAGGCCAGGGCAGGGCAGGGCAGAGCAGAGGAGGAGGGAUUGGAGCAGCUGGACCCCGCCAGCACCAAGCCCUGGGCAGGCCAGAUGAGGAGGGCCGGGCACAGCGAGGGUCAAAAAGGCGUCGGCGUCCGGACCGACUGGAGGGUGGGGCUGGCAUGUGGGGGCUGGGCGGGCCUUGCGCGCGCUCCCCGCGUGGGAUGACCAGAAUGCACGUGCCUUGGUUGCAGAGUGAGCCCCUCAGCCCCGAAUCUGGAGUGGCCGCGGCCGGGAAACAGGAACCCGGGUUUAUUAUUAGCCGUCGGGGAAGAGGGGCCGGCAGCAGUUCCAACAGUGUGAUAACACACGGAAAACGGAAAUCCAAGGGAUCUAGCAAAAGGAUUCCACCCAGCAAAAACGCCAGCUUGGGAGAGGGCCCCUACCUAACUCCUUCCUUCUGGCCUCCACCCCUCCCCUGAUACGUUUCCUUCCGUCUAGUCUCGAGAUAACCCUUCAUCCCCCAGUUUCUUGACUCUGGCCGCUGUUCUUGAACAUUUCUUAAACACUUUCA
rnacentral:lncRNA from 1 species